rnacentral:rRNA from 1 species
CCCUUAGAUGUCCUGGGCCGCACGCGCGCUACACUGAGUGUCUGAGAUACGAGUCUGCCUGGUCCGGCAAGGUCUAGGUAAUCGCUAAAAGACACAUCAUGCUUGGGAUAGAUUAUUGCAAAUAUUAAUCUUGAACGAGGUAUUCCUAGUAAGCGCAAGUCAACAGCUUGCGUUGAUUACGUCCCUGCCCUUUGUACACACCGCCCGUCGCUACUACUGAUUGGAUGUUUAAGCGAGGUUCUCGAACUGCUAGCGACUUAGCUUCGGUGAGGUCGCAGUGUGGGAAGUGAACCUAGCUUUGGUGUCUAGAGGAAGUAAAAGUCGUAACA